GUUUUUUGUCUUGAUAUUAGUUUGAUUCACUGUCUCAAAUAAAGGUCAUGUCUAAUGCAUUUUGAAUGUUGCGAUAUAUGUAAUAAAUUGUAAAUACACUUGUACAUAACACAAACUAUUCAUUAUCAUUAUAAUAUUUCAUUAUUGUUGAUCAUUAUCCUUGGCUAUAUUUUACAUAUAAGUGUGAUCUUUUAUAAAAAUAAAGUUCAGAUUUUGGCAAUUAAACCAAUAAGAAAACAAAAUAGGGUAGUGCGUCUCAGUUCUAUACAAAAGCAAUGAUAAGGAACCAAUUUAAUGACAGAAAUUUAGAAGAAAUUAUGAUUUCAUUCUGAAAAAAAUAGCUAUAAUAAAACAUCUUCUGAAAGUUUUACUGCAUCUGAUAAAUACGUGACAGUUAUAAUUCGCCAUUGUAUUAAUG
rnacentral:lncRNA from 1 species